GGCAGUGUAGCCAAGUGGUUACGGCGUCACGUUUAGGCUACUAAGCUAAAUCCGUGAUGGGUUUCCCGCGCGAGUUCGAAUCUCGUCACUGUCA
rnacentral:tRNA from 1 species